GUCCUUUUGCAGUGGCAGAAUCGUAGCCUAUGAUGCGCGAUUAUUGCUAGUUAAAACUUUACCGAAUACCCCGCCUUGACGCCUUGAAAUAUAGCCGUGUGGCAAUUGUUGUUGAUUUCUACAGAGA
rnacentral:snRNA from 1 species